UACAGAGGGGGCAAGCGUUGUUCGGAAUUACUGGGCGUAAAGGGCGCGUAGGCGGCCUUCUAAGUCAGACGUGAAAUCCCUCGGCUCAACCGGGGAACUGCGUCUGAUACUGGAUGGCUUGAAUCCGGGAGAGGGAUGCGGAAUUCCAGGUGUAGCGGUGAAAUGCGUAGAUAUCUGGAGGAACACCGGUGGCGAAGGCGGCAUCCUGGACCGGCAUUGACGCUGAGGAGCGAAAGCCAGGGGAGCAAACGGG
rnacentral:rRNA from 1 species